rnacentral:tRNA from 8 species
GGGCUAUUGGUCUAGGGGUAUGAUUUUCGCUUCGCAUGUGAAAGGUCACCGGUUCAAAUCCGGUAUAGUCCA